rnacentral:snRNA from 1 species
GCUCAUGGUUAUGGUCAUCAUAGA